rnacentral:rRNA from 1 species
UGCAGUCGAGCGGUAGAGAGAAGCUUGCUUCUCUUGAGAGCGGCGGACGGGUGAGUAAUGCCUAGGAAUCUGCCUGGUAGUGGGGGAUAACGUCCGGAAACGGACGCUAAUACCGCAUACGUCCUACGGGAGAAAGCAGGGGACCUUCGGGCCUUGCGCUAUCAGAUGAGCCUAGGUCGGAUUAGCUAGUUGGUGGGGUAAUGGCUCACCAAGGCGACGAUCCGUAACUGGUCUGAGAGGAUGAUCAGUCACACUGGAACUGAGACACGGUCCAGACUCCUACGGGAGGCAGCAGUGGGGAAUAUUGGACAAUGGGCGAAAGCCUGAUCCAGCCAUGCCGCGUGUGUGAAGAAGGUCUUCGGAUUGUAAAGCACUUUAAGUUGGGAGGAAGGGCAGUAAAUUAAUACUUUGCUGUUUUGACGUUACCGACAGAAUAAGCACCGGCUAACUCUGUGCCAGCAGCCGCGGUAAUACAGAGGGUGCAAGCGUUAAUCGGAAUUACUGGGCGUAAAGCGCGCGUAGGUGGUUCGUUAAGUUGGAUGUGAAAUCCCCGGGCUCAACCUGGGAACUGCAUUCAAAACUGACGAGCUAGAGUAUGGUAGAGGGUGGUGGAAUUUCCUGUGUAGCGGUGAAAUGCGUAGAUAUAGGAAGGAACACCAGUGGCGAAGGCGACCACCUGGACUGAUACUGACACUGAGGUGCGAAAGCGUGGGGAGCAAACAGGAUUAGAUACCCUGGUAGUCCACGCCGUAAACGAUGUCAACUAGCCGUUGGGAGCCUUGAGCUCUUAGUGGCGCAGCUAACGCAUUAAGUUGACCGCCUGGGGAGUACGGCCGCAAGG